AAGUCGUAACAAGGUUUCCGUAGGUGAACCUGCGGAAGGAUCAUUCACAAUAAGUGUUUAUGGCACUUUCAAAUCCAUACCCACCUUGUGUGCAUUGUAAGGGCACUUUCGAAAGACUGGGCUUCAUUUUCUCACACGUCUUCAAUUGCAAGUCUAACAUUCAGAGUAUAAUCAAAAAACUCGAAUACAACUUUCAACAACGGAUCUCUUGGCUCUC
rnacentral:misc_RNA from 1 species